rnacentral:rRNA from 1 species
CUACGGAGGGUGCAAGCGUUACUCGGAAUCACUGGGCGUAGAGCGCGCGUAGGCGGAUCGUUAAGUCAGGGGUGAAAGCCCGGAGCUCAACUCCGGAACUGCCCUUGAUACUGGCGAUCUCGAGUCCGGGAGAGGUGAGCGGAAUUCCUAGUGUAGAGGUGAAAUUCGUAGAUAUUAGGAGGAACACCAGUGGCGAAGGCGGCUCACUGGCCCGGUACUGACGCUGAGGUGCGAAAGCGUGGGGAGCAAACAGGAUUAGAAACCCUAGUAGUCC